UUACUUUCGCUUGAAAUGUGUUGCCUUGACUGCGAUUAUCAACAACGAAGACAAUUCUUGGGUCUCAUGAUUCAUCAAAUUUCACUUUUUCAGUGGACGAAUCCUAGAGAGGCAAAUCCAGGCUUGAAAACAGAUGUCUUCCUCUGGUGUGUGCCAGAUUGAUGCUUACAGUACUUUAAUUGCAACACAACUUGAUUGCAUCUCUUAUUCUAGUGAGCUGUACAAAGUGGAUUAAAAUGUCAGAGGUAAAAGAAGAAGACCAUUCCAAUGCUGUAGAAACUCCAGAGGAUAACAACACCGUUCAAGUUGUGAUAGAGCCUGCCACUCCAAGGGAUGGGAAGAGAGAAAGUGAAAGUGAAAAGGAAAUCUUAAAAACGGAAGAUACAGAACAGACUGAAACAGAUGGAAAAGAGUCUUCUGAAAAAGCCUCAGAAAAUGAAGUAAGCAAUGGUAUAGAAUCACCAGCAGCAGAUGAGAAUUCUAGUGAGAAAAAUGAUAAUUCUGAUGACAAUACACAGGAUAAUCAUUCGGAAGUGAAUCAACCUGAAGAAAACAACAAAAGACCUGAAGAGGUAGUGACAGAUGUAAAUGGCUCAAACACAAUUAUUCAAAACUUAUCAGAAAACAAGGUUCAAGAUGAGAAGGAAAUACAAGUUGGUAAGGUAGAGGAAAAAGGAGAUGAUAAUACAAUUGACAAAGAUUCUGCACCUGGAGGUGAUGAGGGAGAUCAGACAAAAUCAGAGAGUUCAAACGUAGAGGAAUCAGCGCCUCACAGUGUUACUGAACAUGGAAUAGAGGAAAAAAGUCAUGAAACAAUGAAAGAAGAUAAUGAUAAUCAAACUGAAGGAUCUUCUUGUGAUUCAAAGAAGGAUGGUGACUUCCAAGUCACUACUGACAUUCUCACUGAAGAUAUGGAAGCAGGGCAAAAGGGUCAUGAAUCAUCUAUGUCAGGAUCAGUCAGUGAUAAAGAGAGGACUGUUAAAACCCCAGAGAGUAUUGCUGUGUCUGUAGACCUACCCGUCAACAAUCUUGCCCCUAGCCAAUCCAGAUUGAGCAAUAGGCCUGUUACGGCUGAAUCCGAGUUUGUGUAUAAUGAGCAUGACUUUCCAACUCCAGACUAUGACAUUUAUGGACCUACACCAACCACUGCAGGAAGUGAUAAGAGACAAUUUAGCCCCAGUAAACGGGAAGGUCGCACCGCUAGCAGAGGAGAAGGUGCAAAGAGUGUUACAUUUGCAGAGGAUGUUAGCAAAGGUGGUGAAGCUGAUGACAAGGAUUCAACUCAUGUUUUGGAUAAAGAGGAACCUGAUCGAGAUAACCAAGACCAAGAGAUGACAGGGGAUGAGAAACAGGAGGAAGAAAAAGGAAAAGCUACAGAGCAGGAGGAUGAGGAAAGCAGAGAUAUAUUUCCCACUGCUGUCAGUGAAGAGAAGAUUGAGGAAGCAAAGAAAAAACAAGAAGGUUUCACAAAGAAAGAAGCUUUGGCAAUCGAGCUGUUCGGUGCGUCAAAAUUUGAGCCUGAAUCAAUGGAAGAUGUCAUUACAAAGAAGGCAUUCCAACAUUUUGAAGUUGGAUGUCGAUUGUUGGAAGACGGUGACUUUGGCCAGGCAGUGAUCAGUUUAGAUAAAGCUCUUAAUCUUCUUCCUAAAGAGGUCAAGUUUUAUUUGAUGAGAGGAGAAGCCUAUCUUCAACUUUGUGAUUUUCAGUCGGCCAUUCUUAAUCUAAAGAAAGCGUGUGUUCUUCAGCCAGAUAACCAUGAGUAUUACGCAAGACUGGCGUUUGUUUAUUACUUUCAGGGCCAGAGUUUGUUUGAUCAGUGUUUGUUUCCUGAAGCUCUAGAAUCCUUCUCAAGAGCAGCUGAAAUGAGGCCAGAGAUUAUAGCCUACCACACCAGAAGCAUCGCCUGUUUAGCAGCCUUACAGCGACAUGGAGAGUGUCUGGCCUUGGUGAAUAAAAGAUUAGAAACUGAAAGAAACAAUCCUGAUCUGUACAUUAUGAGAGCAAGGCUUCAUCAACUCUUUAGAAAUACGACAUUAUGUUACUAUGACUUGAAGGACGCCCUCGCUCUGAAUCCUGAUCAAGAAGAAGCAAAGACUUUGAUGAAAGAGCUUGAGAGGAAAGCAGAGGAGAACAGAAACCAUGCCAUUAGACUUCAACUACAAGGAAAGUUUAAAGACAGUCUCACAAAGAUCACCAUAGCCAUAGAGAUGAAUCCUUCAGUGUCUGACUACCAUCUUCAGAGAGGAGCUCUUCAUCGGCGUCUGCAUGACUACAAUGCUGCAAUCGAUGACUUCCUAUUGGCUAUGGAUAAAACAGAACACAACGAGUACAGCAACAUCUACACAGAUGCUCAGCGACAGCUUCUGCUAACAUAUAAUGACUUUGCUGUGGAGUGCUUUAGUGGAAACCAUUUUGAAGAAGCCAUUUUACUUUUGAAUAAAGCAUUGAAAGGGGAGAAGAGAGAGAAGGGUCUCUACAUCAACAGAGGAGACUGCUUCUUCCGUCUUCAAGAGCUUCACUUUGCUUUAGCUGACUACCAUCAAGCUUCAGAGCUUGAUCCCUCAGACGCUGGCAUACGGUCCAGAGUAGCGGCUAUUCACAAUCAGUUUGGUUUACAGGAUUAUGAAGAGCAUAGUUACCAGGAUGCGGAAUCCAGAUUUACUAUUGCUAUACAACACAACCCAAAGCAUGGAGCGUACUACAUCUCACGCUGUAAAGUCAGACUAAUGAUGGAGAAUCAGUCAGGAGCAAGACAAGACUUUCUGAUGGCCCUUCAUCUUGACUCAUCAAACACUGAGAUCCUAACUCUGAUGCCUCGUAUCUAUCCUGGCAAGUCAGUUGGUGAUGUGAUGAGAACAAAACAUGCCAAGGAGGCCAAGAUAGCAGCUGAUAAUGCUGUCAUCACUGCUUCACCAAUCGUUCUACCAACAAUGAACAGUUCUGCACAGAAUAGUCAAGAGGAUCUAGGCGCCACCAGUAAACGAGUUAACUUUGAUCCUGAAUUAGUAUCAGACACAGUUGUCCCACCGCUGAAGUACUGUAUGAAUGAACAGGACUUCAACAGAGCUUUGACCAAACAAAAGAGAAAGAUUUCCAACCAUGUGAAGUCACUUCUCAAUGACCGAGGAACAAUGCGUGCUGAUAAACUUAAACUGAAUCCCAUACCUCCUCCCAGACCUUAUGAGGUGAGGGGAGGUCAUUGGAAGAAUCCAGAACCUGCCAUCAAACCAGGAUGGAGAACAUUCAGUCUUGGUGUGGGACUCAUGGAUUAGAUUCAGCUAUUAACCUCCCAUGCAUUCAGCCUUGGUACCGGACUCAUGGAUUAGAUUCAACUGCAUGUAUCAACCUCCCAUCAUUCAGCCUUGGUAUUGGACUUGGGAAUUAGAUUCAUAUAACAACCUCCCAUGCAUUCAGCCUUGGUAGCGGACUCAUGGAUUAGAUUCAUAUAUCAACCUCCCAUGCAUUCAGCCGUGUUAUCGGACUCAUAGAUUAGAUUCAGCUAUCAACCCCCUAUGCAUUCAGCCUUGGUACCAGACUCAUGGAUUAGAUUCUUAUAUCAACCUCCCAUGCAUUCAGUCUUGGUAUUAGACACAUGGAAUACAUGUAGACCCCUAUAUCCCUAUCUAUUGUAUUCAGCUAGAUUGAGUAGGAAAUAGAAUCUUGGGAUGAAUUCUUUCAUCAUUCUCUCAUACAUUCAUCCUCGAAAUAAGAUGUAUAGGAUAGUUUAAUUAUGUGCAGAAAUGCUAGCUUUUCUUAAAUGAUUGGUUCAGAACAGUAUUGAUUUAACCCUAGUAAUAUCCCUCAUUAUAAUUUGAAUUAUUAUGAUACAAGUUCCUUUAUUUGCUUUGAAUAUGCAAUAAGCCAGCACAGUCUCAUGCUUCAGUUUAAUUUAUAGAGAUUUCUAAAGAUAUAUUUAAAUUAAUAUUAUACUUGUGAUUAGGAAGUAUGGGUCAAAGUCACAAAAAUGUAUGAAAAAUAAAGGAAAAAUAAAGGGGCCUUUAAAUUAUGUUGGACCUUUGUAAUUACUUGACUUGUGAAUUCAACCUACUGCUAUGCGAUUUCUUGGACUUGUGAUUUUGAUGUAAAAAUGGAUCUUAAUACAAUCUCUUCGGCAAUGCUUGUGAGAAUAUAAGAUUUUCUUUAAUAUUUCUUGUACAUUUUUGCCUUGCAAAAUAAUCCAGAUCUAAUCCAGGGAGUUUUACCAGCUACAAAUAACUUCAUGAUUGACUGGAAUACAGAAAGCCAAAAUGGAGUAUUCAGCCAUUUUAAUAGCAUUACCCAAGGUAUGGGAGUUAACAAAUCUGGAUUUAAUCUUUUGAAAUAUAAUCUUUGUUCAUUCAUGAGAAAGAGAGAAAAAAAAUACUUGCACUUUGGCUCUUCAUAUGGUAUGGUCAAUAAUGUCAUUCAUGAUUUUAUGAAUAGUUUAUGAAACACCCUUGGUCUAUAUUCAAGUAUGAGUGUUUGAUUUCUGUGAGGUACAUGUUCCUUAUCAAAGGUCGCACACAUUGCUU
rnacentral:misc_RNA from 1 species